AAUGAACGCUGGCGGCAUGGCUAAAACAUGCAAGUCGAACGAACCCGCAAGGGUGAGUGGCGAAAGGGUCAGUAAUACGAUCGAAUGUACCCUGAGGUGGCGGAUAGCGGUGGGAAACUGCCGGUAAUACGUCAUGAUCUCUACGGAGCAAAGGUUUACCGCCUUGGGAGCAGCGAUCGUCCUAUCAGGUAGUUGGCGGGGUAAAGGCCCACCAAGCCGAAGACGGGUAGCGGGUGUGAGAGCACGACCCGCGACAUCGGAACUGAGACACUGUCCGGACUCUUACGGGAGGCUGCAGUAACGGAAUCUUCCGCAAUGGGCGAAAGCCUGACGGAGCAAUGCCGCGUGUAGGGAUGAAGCGUCUCUGACGUGUAAACUACUGUCAGGGGUCGGAACCAACGAUUGACCCCAAAGGAAGUGGCGACUAACUCUGUG
rnacentral:rRNA from 1 species